AGGUCAAGUGAAGAAGGGCGCACGGUGAAUGCCUUGGCACUGGAAGCCGAUGAAGGACGCGACUAACCGCGAAAGUCUUCGGGGAGCCGUAAGUAGGCUUUGAUCCGGAGGUCUCCGAAUGGGGGAACCCAGCAUGUGCAGACAUGCUAUCCUUAAGUGAAUACAUAGCUUAAGGAGGGAACACGCAGUGAACUGAAACAUCUAAGUAGCUGCAGGAAGAGAAAGAAAUAUCGAUUUCCCAAGUAGCGGCGAGCGAACAGGAAAGAGCCCAAACCGGCAGAUUUAUCUGCCGGGGUUGUAGGACUGAGACAUGGCACUUCAGAGGAUAGCAGAAGCGUUUGGGAAAGCGCGCCAGAGAGGGUGAGAGCCCCGUAAGCGAAAUCCAAAGAAGGCCUAUCAGUAUCCUGAGUAGGGCGGGACACGUGAAAUCCCGUUUGAAUCCGCGAGGACCAUCUCGCAAGGCUAAAUACUAACCAGUGACCGAUAGUGAACCAGUACCGUGAGGGAAAGGUGAAAAGAACCCCGGGAGGGGAGUGAAAGAGAACCUGAAACCGUGUGCCUACAAGUAGUCAGAGCCCGUUAACGGGUAAUGGCGUGCCUUUUGUAGAAUGAACCGGCGAGUUGCGUUAGUCAGCAAGGUUAAGUCAGAAAAGACGGAGCCGUAGCGAAAGCGAGUCUGAAGAGGGCGAGCAGUUGGCUGACGCAGACCCGAAACCAAGUGACCUACCCAUGACCAGGUUGAAGGCGCGGUAAAACGCGCUGGAGGACCGAACCCACGUAAGUUGAAAAUUGCGGGGAUGAGUUGUGGGUAGCGGUGAAAUUCCAAACGAACUUGGAGAUAGCUGGUUCUCUCCGAAAUAGCUUUAGGGCUAGCCUCGCAAAGAGGAUGCUGGAGGUAGAGCUCUGUUUGGACUAGGGGCCCGUCAAGGGUUACUGAAUUCAGAUAAACUGCGAAUUCCAGACAUUUAUGUGCGGGAGUCAGACUGCGAGUGAUAAGAUCCGUAGUCGAAAGGGAAACAGCCCAGAUCACCAGUUAAGGUCCCAAAAUUCAUGCUAAGUGGAAAAGGAUGUGGAGUUGCGCAGACAACUAGGACGUUGGCUCAGAAGCAGCCAUCAUUCAAAGAGUGC
rnacentral:rRNA from 1 species